CUGACAGUCCCUAGGGCUGAAGCCCUCUCCUAACCACAGAAAAGAUAUAGUGAAAGCAGUGGUGGGAUAUACCUCACCACAUUGCCAUGCACAUAUGGGCCUCAAGCCUGUUUCAGAAGGGUCACCUCUAAACUGGCAGAACUCAAUAGUACAUCCUUCACUGCUUAUCUGGA
rnacentral:sRNA from 1 species